GACAGAGGGGGCAAGCGUUGCUCGGAAUCACUGGGCGUAAAGGGCGCGUAGGCGGGAUGGCAAGUCAGUCGUGAAAUCUCUCGGCUCAACCGAGAAACGUCGGCUGAUACUGCCGUUCUUGAGGGAUGCAGAGGAGACUGGAAUUCCCGGUGUAGCGGUGAAAUGCGUAGAUAUCAGGAGGAACACCGGUGGCGAAGGCGGCCCUCUGGACGGUGACUGACGCUGAGACGCGAAAGCGUGGGGAGCAAACAGG
rnacentral:rRNA from 1 species